AUUGAACGCUGGCGGAAUGCUUUACACAUGCAAGUCGAACGGCAGCACGGACUUCGGUCUGGUGGCGAGUGGCGAACGGGUGAGUAAUGUAUCGGAACGUGCCCAGUCGCGGGGGAUAACGUAGUGAAAAUUACGCUAAUACCGCAUACGAUCUAUGGAUGAACGCGGGGGAUCGCAAGACCUCGCGCGAGUGGAGCGGCAGAUAUCAGAUUAGGUAGUUGGUGGGGUAAAGGGCCACCAAGCCAACGAUCUGUAACUGGUCUGAGAGGACGACCAGCCACACUGGAACUGAGACAAGGUCCAGACUCCUACGGGAGGCAGCAGUGGGGAAUUUUGGACAAUGGGCGAAAGCCUGAUCCAGCCAUUCCGCGUGCAGGAUGAAGGCCCUCGGGUUGUAAACUGCUUUUGUACAGAACGAAAAGGCUUCUACUAAUACUAGGAGCUCAUGACGGUACUGUAAGAAUAAGCACCGGCUAACUACGUGCCAGCAGCAGCCGCGG
rnacentral:rRNA from 1 species